rnacentral:lncRNA from 1 species
CUUCGCCUACUGCAGACACAGCACUCUUCCUGCCUUCAGAGGACAGCUGGAACUUGUCUUAAAAACCCGCCAGCAACCACCUGAUUUAAGGCUCCUGGUCAACCCAGUCCUACCGCUAGAUAGCGCUGCGCCCAUAGGUUUAGCGUCUUCAUCUUUCAUUAAUAAGAACUAGAGCCGCUCACAAAAUACACAAAGAAGUUUCUCAACAGGAUUAUUUGGUGUGGAAAGGUACCUCCCAGGAUUAAAUUAAAAGCUUUUAGAAACAGUUG